UACGAAGGGGACUAGCGUUGUUCGGAAUUAUUGGGCGUAAAGAGCUCGUAGGCGGUUUGUCGCGUCGAAUGUGAAAACCCGGGGCUCAACCCCGGGCCUGCAUUCGAUACGGGCAGACUAGAGUUCGGUAGGGGAGUCUGGAAUUCCUGGUGUAGCGGUGAAAUGCGCAGAUAUCGGGAAGAACACCCGUGGCGAAGGCGGCUCUCUGGGACGGUACUGACGCUGAGACGCGAAAGCGUGGGGAGCGAACAGG
rnacentral:rRNA from 1 species